ACAUUCCUAAUAGGGAUUCUUGAAACCUGCACAACAAUCAUAAUCAAUAUAUAGAGUUGCCGAGAUCCAUGGUUGCAGACAAUAGGUAUAAAGUUUUAAUUGUUCUUUAUAUUGGUUUGUCUAUUUCUCUUCGAUUCUUUUGAAGAUUUAGGUGAAGUGAGGCUAAUUCAAACAAUGGAUGUCUCAUCAAUUUCGAUUCGUUUGCUUGGAUGCAAAUCAUACAAAAUGGACAACAUAGUUCCAUAGGAACCGGUACUUCAUUAAGAUGCUGGCGACGAGAUGUAAGGUGAUGUAAUUCAGUGGUCGGUGCCUUUGGUUGAUAUGUGGUAGUUUUGGGGUUUGGUAGUGGUGGUUUUGGAAUCUCUUACUAUGAAUUGCUUAUUUAUUUAGGUGACAGACCUUUAAAAAGGGAAGAUGGUCUACUACUCUGUAAGUGUUGGGAGUAUUAUGCAUCCAAAUUCCAAUUUUAUUUUGCAUAUAAAUAUGAUUCAUUCUUUGAUUAGUACAAACAAAAUGGAUUAGAGUCAUGGUGAUAGUUGCUCCAACAAAUUAAAUCUUUAAAUAUAACGCAAUACUGCUUUAUUCAUGUUCAAAAACGAAGGAUUGAUAUACAGAAACUUAGGGAUUUUUUUCCGAAAGUGACCGAGUUUCCAAUGAAAUAUUUGGAUCGACUGGGAAGUGGAAAACCCAUGAAAAGUGAAAUCAAAUGGAACAGUAAUAGUGAGCACAUGCAACCAAGGACAUGAAAAGUGAAUUGGAGUAACAAAUUUAAAGUUGUGAGAAACAAUGUCGCGGUUAAACUAUCAGUGCAAGAUUUAGUUGUCGGCCAACAAUUGUUUAUAGUUACACUGAUGUUGUCGUUAACAUUUGUGAUGUUAUUUUUAAAGUCAUAUGUGUUUUUGUUAAAAUUGAUUUCUCUUUUGAUAUAAGUUUUUAUCUUCUCAUAUGGUUCAUCAUCUCAAGGUUUCCGAUGGUGACCCUACUAACACAACAUUAAUAUAGAUUCUUAUUUAUGUUAAGAAUUCCUACUAACAAAAAGUAACUUGCUUCUUCAGAAAAAUCAAUUCUUUUAAUUGUUUUACAUGAGCAAUUUUUUUGAGCUAUCGUGUUUCUAUAUUGUUUCUCUAACAACUCCAAUGAUUUUGAUAAUUGGAUAAGUAUGUACAACAAAGGAAAGAUUCUUCCCUUUUAGUUUUAUCAUCAAAUGUUAGUGAUUGACCACUCUUUUUUGUCCUUGAUGAACAAUCCACUUGAUGUUGUUUAAGCGUGUCAAGCUCCAAAACACAUGAAAUAUGAGCUGGAGAA